UACGUAGGGUCCGAGCGUUGUCCGGAAUUAUUGGGCGUAAAGAGCUCGUAGGCGGUUUGUCGCGUCUGCUGUGAAAUCCCGAGGCUCAACCCCGGACUUGCAGUGGGUACGGGCAGACUAGAGUGUGGUAGGGGAGACUGGAAUUCCUGGUGUAGCGGUGAAAUGCGCAGAUAUCAGGAGGAACACCGAUGGCGAAGGCAGGUCUCUGGGCCACUACUGACGCUGAGAAGCGAAAGCAUGGGGAGCGAACAGG
rnacentral:rRNA from 1 species